CGACGCGCGCCGGCAAGGGAGGAACGUCACUUCCUGUUUCUUUAGGGGAACGUGGCUUUCCCUGAAGCGUCCGUCUCCCCUCCUGCGUCUCUGGUGCAGCAGCCAGAGCGGGAGUCCGACCCCCGAGCGCAGCCUCGCCAUGGACUCGGCCCUCAGCGACCCGCUUAACGGCAGCGCCGAGGCAGGCGGCCCAGCCAACGGCAAGACGCGGCCGCCUUCCACGCCCGAGGGCAUCGCGCUGGCCUACGGCAGCCUCCUGCUCAUGGCGCUGCUGCCCAUCUUCUUCGGCGCCCUGCGCUCCGUGCGCUGCGCCCGCGGCAAGAACGCCUCGGACAUGCCCGAGACCAUCACCAGCCGGGACGCUGCCCGCUUCCCCAUCAUCGCCAGCUGCACGCUCUUGGGGCUCUACCUCUUUUUCAAAAUAUUCUCCCAGGAAUACAUCAACCUCUUGCUGUCCAUGUAUUUCUUCGUACUGGGAAUCCUGGCCCUGUCCCACACCAUCAGCCCCUUCAUGAAUAAGUUUUUUCCAGCCAACUUCCCAAAUCGACAGUACCAGCUGCUCUUCACGCAGGGCUCUGGGGAGAACAAGGAAGAGAUCAUCAAUUAUGAGUUUGACACCAAGGACCUGGUGUGCCUGGGCCUGAGCAGCAUCGUUGGCGUCUGGUACCUGCUGAGGAAGCACUGGAUUGCCAACAACCUCUUUGGCCUGGCCUUCUCCCUUAAUGGGGUGGAGCUGCUGCACCUAAACAACGUCAGCACUGGCUGCAUCCUGCUGGGCGGGCUCUUCAUCUACGAUGUCUUCUGGGUAUUUGGCACCAAUGUGAUGGUGACAGUGGCCAAGUCCUUUGAGGCACCAAUAAAAUUGGUGUUUCCCCAGGAUCUGCUGGAGAAGGGCCUCGAAGCAGACAACUUUGCCAUGCUGGGUCUCGGAGAUAUCGUCAUUCCAGGGAUCUUCAUUGCCCUGCUGCUGCGUUUUGACAUCAGCUUGAAGAAGAACACCCACACCUACUUCUACACCAGCUUUGCAGCCUACAUCUUCGGCCUGGGCCUUACCAUCUUCAUCAUGCACAUCUUCAAGCACGCCCAGCCUGCCCUCCUGUACCUGGUCCCUGCCUGCAUCGGCUUUCCCAUCCUGGUGGCACUGGCCAAAGGAGAAGUGACAGAGAUGUUCAGCUACGAGUCCUCGGCGGAAAUCCUGCCUCAUACCCCGAGGCUCACCCACUUCCCCACAGUCUCGGGCUCCCCAGCCAGCCUGGCCGACUCCAUGCAGCAGAAGCUAGCCGGCCCUCGCCGCCGGCGCCCGCAGAAUCCCAGCGCCAUGUAAUACCCAGCGGGUGCCCACCUGCCCGCUUCCCCCCACUGCCCCGGGGCCCAAGUUAUGAGGAGUCAAACCCUAAGGACCCAGCGGCAGUGACAGAAUCCAAAGAGGGAACAGAGGCCUCAGCAUCGAAGGGGCUGGAGAAGAAGGAGAAAUGAUGCGGCCGGUGCCUGACCCUCUGCGGGCCAGACCAGACAGGCAGGGAUGGACCAGCACAGGCCUGCACGGGCAGAGGCCCAGGAGGCCCGGCAGCUCCAGCAGAGGGGUGCGGGCAGCAGGAUCCCUCCAGAGGGGCCUCUGUGGCCUGGUUUCCUCUCCCUGUUCUCUGGCGUCCUUCUGCCCUCCCCAUCCCCUGCAGGCAAAGGAAGCCCCCAACUUCCCCCACCCUCCCAGGUGCCAGGUGGGAAAAGGGGGUCUGAUUUUUAGACUUUUGUAUUGUGGACUGACUUUGCCUCACAUUAAAAACUCAUCCCAUUGCUCGGGCAGGCCCCUGCACUCCUGGAAAGGUUCUGCA